CUACGGGUUGCUGCAGUGAGGAAUAUUGCACAAUGGGGGGAACCCUGAUGCAGCAACGCCGCGUGGAGGAUGACGCAUUUCGGUGUGUAAACUCCUUUUAUAUGUCAAGAAAAUGACGGUAGCAUAUGAAUAAGCACCGGCUAACUCCGUGCCAGCAGCCGCGGUAAUACGGAGGGUGCAAGCGUUACUCGGAAUCACUGGGCGUAAAGGAUGCGUAGGCGGGUUGGAAAGUCAGGUGUGAAAUCCUACAGCUUAACUGUAGAACUGCACUUGAAACUUCUAAUCUAGAGUAUGGGAGGGGGAGAUGGUAUUAGUGGUGUAGGGGUAAAAUCCGUAGAUAUCACUAGGAAUACCUAAAGCGAAGGCGAUCUCCUGGAACAUUACUGACGCUAAGGCGUGAAAGCGUGGGGAGAAAACAGGAUUAGAUACCCCGGUAGUC
rnacentral:rRNA from 1 species